CUUGCAAGGCGAGGAGAGGAUUCUUCAAACGGCAAGAGAGAGACCAGCAUUGAGGUAGACUUUGAUUUUGCUUUCUGUGAUUAAAAAAACCCAGUCAUCAGGCAUGUGGAUCCUGCUUAUAAUGCAACAGUGGAAAGAAAAAUGCUUCAGGUGAUAGAAACACGAAAAGAUUAACUUACUACCCAAGCAUGACUUGGCCGUAAGCUUGAAGACUCAGGACCACCGGCCUCCCGAGGUCACCUACUUCACACCUAUCGCAUUUGCCACAAGAAGACCAAGGUUCAGAGGGCGAAGUGGCGGUCCUGGGAAGCCCCUGCAUCGUCACUGGUAGGGGCAGGCCGGGUCACAGAUGCCCCGCCAUUUUUUUCUAGCACCCUGGAAUUUCAGCGGAGACAGAAUACACUAAUGAGGAGAAUCUUUGACAAAAUGGAGACACAGAGGAGCAUCUUCUAACCUGUGUGCCUCUGCCUCAGAGUCUAUUCCGGCUUCCCUCUCCCCAACAACACAGCUUCUGAGCUGCUUCUCCGGUGCCCUCAGCUCCAGACCUGAACACUCAGCCUCUCUAACAUCCUCCACAUCAAAGUGUGUGAGUUCCAUAGCCUCCGGGCCCAAUGGCAUGUGCAUUAGGUACCUAGCUCUGCUGCUAAUCACUGCCUUGCCUCAGCCAAGUCACUCAGUGUCUCUGAGACUUAGUCGUCUUCUGAUGGCAAAUGAGAGAGUUGGAUAGCUUCCAAGAGCCCUUCCUCUCAGCUCUAGCAUCCUAUUAUUUAUGCCAAUGGCUACUCGUGGGUUAGCAUGCCUCGUCAUGUUUCCAGAGCUCUUCUUACCGCUCCCGGUGCCUUCACAUGCACUAGCUCCCUGCUGCUCACCCCAGGCCCCAGCAGACAAGAGACAGUUGAUUGAAACACUGAGAUGGCUGAGGCCUGAGUACCUUCCAAGCACACCCUUAGCCGCAUCGAGGCUGUACAACUGGAUGUCUCCAUGCAAAAGGAGAGAGCUGGACCCUUACCUCACACCAUAUAUAAACAUUAACUCAAAAUGGAUCAAAGUCCUAAAUGCAAGAGCCCAAAACUACGAAACUCUUAGAAGCAAACAUAGGAGUAAAUUUUUGUGACCUUGGAUUUAGCAAUAGAUUCUUGAAUAUGACAUCUAAAGCACAAGCAACAAAAGAAAAUAGGUAAAUCAUACUUCAUCAAAAUUAAAAAUCUUUGUGCUUCAAAAGACACU